GCUGCCUAGUAGAUGGUGUGCCCCAUCAUCCAUGACAAGUACACAUACCUCUCCCCUCAAAAUGAAAACCUGACAUCAAAACAUGUAUCUGUGGCCCAUGCUAGUGCUGUACACCCCCUAGAUAAAAACAAAAGGCAGGAAAUAGUUUGACUUAAACUUUAUGGGUGAGAAGAGGAAAAGGCAUAAACCAGCUUUAUUUGUGCCCUUACAGAAAUGCUGUAGUUUUCCCUGCAACACCCCUACCUGCAUGUUGAGUAUACUGUGAUCAGCUGCAUAAGGAGAGAAAAGACUAAAAUUCAGGAUGUGAGCUGAGGAUAUCUGACUAAUAGCAAAGAAGAUAAAUGCAAGGCAUGAUUAUGAGAAUACCACUGGGUCAGAAGAGAAAAUGGACAAAUGACAGGCUUGUCAAAAGUUACCCCAUGUGACAAUUCAAUUGAAAUCUAGGGCUUUGUGCCCCCAAUUCUCCUGAAUGAAUACAUAUCCAUUUAAAGAAAAUAAUUGUUCUCUCAGAAAACUUCAAGAUAGUAUGAAUAUCCUGAGGCCUUUCCUACUGCAAAAUGGUCAUGAAUCCCUAAAGGUUUCAGAAAAUGAUACCCCAAAAUGAAGAUCUCAGAAGCAGCUCUCUCUGACCUUAGCUUACCCUCUUGUCUCUGACCCUUCCAUCUUCCAAGAGGCUAGCCACAGAAACUAGAAUCCCAUGGAAACCAGAACCCUUUUCCCCAAAGCCAGCAAUAAAAUCUAAAAAUAUUACUCUAACCCUCCCCACCACCUUUCUGUGUAAAAACUGGCCAUAAAGAAACUACCUGACCUACGUUAUUGACUGUAGGCCAUGAGACCUCUAUUCCAGAGAGGGUCCUGACCCAGACCCAGAAGGAGGGAAUGCAUGCUUAGAGAGACCAAGAAGAAUUUAACUGGACAGGCCUUGCUGCGUUUCCCCACUCAGUCUAUUAGCGUCAAAUCAUGCCCAUUUUGUCCAGUCAUAUUUCUACAUGGCCGCCCAUACUUUCUUGAAGCUAAGCAUACAGACUGUUUCUCCUGUAUCUCUGGAUCUUCAUCUGAAGGAUUCCAUACCAUGUAAAACUAUGAUCAAAUAAAUUU
rnacentral:lncRNA from 10 species